UGGGGGAUAUUGCACAAUGGGCGCAAGCCUGAUGCAGCGACGCCGCGUGAGCGAAGAAGUAUUUCGGUAUGUAAAGCUCUAUCAGCAGGGAAGAAAAUGACGGUACCUGACUAAGAAGCUCCGGCUAAAUACGUGCCAGCAGCCGCGGUAAUACGUAUGGAGCAAGCGUUAUCCGGAUUUACUGGGUGUAAAGGGAGCGUAGGCGGCUCUGUAAGUCUGAUGUGAAAAUUUGGGGCUCAACCCCAAACGUGCAUUGGAAACUGCAGGGCUUGAGUGCCGGAGAGGCAGGCGGAAUUCCUAGUGUAGCGGUGAAAUGCGUAGAUAUUAGGAGGAACACCAGUGGCGAAGGCGGCCUGCUGGACGGUAACUGACGCUGAGGCUCGAAAGCGUGGGGAGCAAACAGG
rnacentral:rRNA from 1 species